UACAGAGGGUGCAAGCGUUAAUCGGAAUUACUGGGCGUAAAGCGUGCGUAGUCGGUUGUUUAAGUCGGAUGUGAAAUCCCCGGGCUCAACCUGGGAAUUGCAUUCGAUACUGGGCAGCUAGAGUUCGGCAGAGGGAAGCGGAAUUUCCGGUGUAGCGGUGAAAUGCGUAGAUAUCGGGAGGAACAUCAGUGGCGAAAGCGGCUUCCUGGACCAGAACUGACGAUCAGGCACGAAAGCGUGGGGAGCAAACAGG
rnacentral:rRNA from 1 species